AUUUGUUGUAAACUGUAAAUAUGGCAUAUCUUUACUGAUUUCCAUGGUGUAUUUCAGGUGCACAGUAUGAAGUGGUAACAUCUACAAAAGCUAACGUAAUGCGAGCCAGCCAAGAGACUGGAGGUGACACCUGGUGGCCAGGAUUUAACUGGAUCAUCUUGGCGUGCCCUGGAUGUAGGCAACAUAUUGGCUGGGAAUAUAUACCACAGGAUGUAAAUGAUAAAGAACAUUCCACAUUUUUUGGAUUGGUGCUGGGAAAUAUUUUAUAUGAAAAUGAUGCAGACAAUUUGAUAGUUUUACCAAAGUCUUACAACAGCUGACAGGAUUGAUCGAUGUUGCUUGGAUUGUUGAUGAUCUUAUUUCACAUAUCAUGACUAUGCAAAAUAAAUUGUACAUUACCAAGGCUGUA